GCUUGCUCUCUGAUGGCGAGUGGCGAACGGGUGAGUAAUAUAUCGGAACGUGCCCAGUAAUGGGGAACAACUAAUUGAAAGAUUAGCUAAUACCGCAUACGACCUACGGGUGAAAGCAGGGGAUCGCAAGACCUUGCGCUUUAGGAGCGGCCGAUAUCUGAUUAGGUAGUUGGUGGGGUAAAGGCCUACCAAGCCGACGAUCAGUAGCUGGUCUGAGAGGACGAUCAGCCACACUGGAACUGAGACACGGUCCAGACUCC
rnacentral:rRNA from 1 species